GAUUAUUCAACUCUCCUUCCUUCAAAGUGCUGCUUAUCUGAGCAAUCAUGGCUUCUGCGGCAAUGUUGAAUGCACCUUGUAAUAUUGGAGCUGUAAAGUUUGAGGUGAAACUGAAGCCAUCGCCAAAUUUGUUUUGUGCACGGCCUUCUGUUAAGUUGAAUCAAAGGAGGGUGUUAACCAUUAGAGCUAGCAAGGAAGGGCAUGAUAAUGGGUCUAGCUCAGGGCCCUUGAGAAAGAUGGGGUUGACUGAUGAGGAGUGUGAGGCUGCUGUAGUUGCCGGAAAUGUACCUGAAGCUCCUCCGGUUCCACCAAAGCCGGCUGCACCUGACGGUACCCCUAUUGUGUCUUCACUGCCAAUUAAUAGGAGACCACGCCGUAAUCGUAGGUCGUCAGCAGCAAGAGCUGCAUUCCAGGAAACAAAUAUAAGCCCUGCAAAUCUUGUAUAUCCACUAUUUAUUCAUGAGGGUGAAGAGGACACACCUAUUGGAGCAAUG
rnacentral:misc_RNA from 1 species